rnacentral:rRNA from 1 species
GACGAACGCUGGCGGCGUGCUUAACACAUGCAAGUCGAACGGAAAGGCCCUGCUUUUGUGGGGUGCUCGAUUGGCGAACGGGUGAGUAACACGUGAGUAACCUGCCCUUGACUUUGGGAUAACUUCAGGAAACUGGGGUUAAUACCGGAUAGGAGCUCCUGUUGCAUGGUGGGGGUUGGAAAGUUUCGGCGGUUGGGGAUGGACUCGCGGCUUAUCAGCUUGUUGGUGGGGUAGUGGCUUACCAAGGCUUUGACGGGUAGCCGGCCUGAGAGGGUGGCCGGGCACAAUGGGACUGAGAUACGGCGCAGACUCCUACGGGGGGCAGCAGUGGGGAAUAUUGCACAAUGGGCGGAAGCCUGAUGCAGCAACGCCGCGUGCGGGAUGACGGCCUUCGGGUUGUAAACCGCUUUCGCCUGUGACGAAGCGUGAGUGACGGUAAUGGGUAAAGAAGCACCGGCUAACUACGUG